rnacentral:rRNA from 1 species
UGGGGAAUAUUGGACAAUGGGCGAAAGCCUGAUCCAGCCAUGUCGCGUGUGUGAAGAAGGUCUUCGGAUUGUAAAGCACUUUAAGUUGGGAGGAAGGGCAGUAAGCGAAUACCUUGCUGUUUUGACGUUACCGACAGAAUAAGCACCGGCUAACUCUGUGCCAGCAGCCGCGGUAAUACAGAGGGUGCAAGCGUUAAUCGGAAUUACUGGGCGUAAAGCGCGCGUAGGUGGUUCGUUAAGUUGAAUGUGAAAGCCCCGGGCUCAACCUGGGAACUGCAUCCAAAACUGGCGAGCGAGAGUAGGGCAGAGGGUGGUGGAAUUUGCUGAGUAGCGGUGAAAUGCGUAGAAAUAGGAAGGAACACCAGUGGCGAAGGCGACCACCUGGGCUCAUACUGACACUGAGGUGCGAAAGAGUGGGGAGCAAACAGG